rnacentral:misc_RNA from 1 species
AGUGUGAAUUGCAGAAUUCCGUGAAUCAUCGAAUUUUUGAACGCAUAUUGCGCCCAGUCUCUCGGGACUGGGCAUGUCUGCCUCAGCGUCGUUAUUUAUGGUGUAAAAAGCACUGACUAUGACUCUUGUUUGUGCAUGAGUUUAAGCAUUGGAGUUUUCGUGCCUUGCACGACAACGUGACAGUAUUCCACCUUUACUGUUCAUCGUAAGCAGGCUUUCACGCAAUAGCUUUUCAUGAACACGAGGAUAAUCGAAUAGCUGCACAACCAUUUCGACCUGAGUUUAGGCAGGGCUACCCGCUGAACUUAAGCAUAUCAAUAAGC